rnacentral:lncRNA from 1 species
UUACUCAUCUAUUCAGGAUAUAAUUGUAAACCUAGGUCCCACAUGGACACUUAGAACAAAAAAAAAUAGAUUGUAUACCUUGAGCAAUUUUUUUCAGUGACUUAAAAAAUCUCCUUUGACAAUAGACCAAGGUGAUAAAGGUCAGGUAAGGAAAAUAGUUCUGAAAAGAACAUAGUUUUACACAAUCCCUAAUUAAAGCAUUGUGACAGUGAGCUUGAUUGAAAGAGAGAGAGCAUUUCACACAUAUAUUUAUAACUCCCUAAAGCCUGGUGGCUAGUUGGUUGAAAUGACCCUCAUUUUAUCUUUGAACUGUAAAUAAGAAAGAGAGAGAGAGAGACAGAUGAGAGAGAAGAGAGAGAGAGAGAGAGAGAGAGAAGAAAAGGACAUGCUGAAAUACCAACAAUUUAUUACAAGGUAAUUCUGCUACUCGCCAGAAAAUUUGUCAGCUAAGUGAUGUUAAUUUUCAGUGUUUACUGUACAGAAAAGAAACCAAUGAUGUUUCAAAUUCUUCUUUUUUGUUUUGUUUUUUGUUUCAAAAUAUUGCCCCUCAUUUGUAAGAAGGUCAGGUAUUUGGGGAGAAUCAUACUUCUUCCUGUUGGCACAGUUAAUGAGGCACAAGAAAUCAUUGACUGUUGCUCGAUCAUGCAUACCGAAUGAGUCAUUGACAGGAGCUAUUUUCUUCCUCCACAACGAAGCCCAGCUGCAGCCAAUCCCAGCAGAAUUUCUUCCAAGCCUGGAGGUGAAUGGCAAGAAUACAGAUAUUUGCCAAUUUCUACAUCCUUAUAACGCCAAGAUCGAAAAAUCAUCUGAUGACCCAAAAUACAGACUGUGCAAGGAAACCAACGAAACCAUUGAUCAUAUCCUCAGCUGCUGUAAGAAAAUCACACAGACAGACUACAAACAGAGGCACAACCAUGUGGCCCAAAUGAUUCAUUGGAAUUUAUGCCUCAAAUACCACCUCCCAGCAAUAAAGAACUGGUGGGAUCACAAACCUGCAAAAGUAUUGGAAAAUGAGCACACAAAGAUACUGUGGGACUUCCAAAUCCAGACUGACAAAGUUCUGGAACACAACACACCAGACAUCACAGUUGUGGAAAAGAAAAAGGUUUGGAUCAUUGAUGUCGCCAUCCCAGGUGUCAGUUGCAUUGAUGAAAAACAGGAAAAACUCAGCCGCUAUCAGGACCUCAAGAUUGAACUUCAAAGACUCUGGCAGAAACCAGUGCAGAUGGUCCUGGUGGUGAUGGGCACAUUGGGUGCUGUGCCAAAAGAUCUCAGCCGGCAUUUGGAAACAAUAGACAUUGACAAAAUUACGAUCUGCCAACUGCAAAAGGCCACCCUACUGGGAUCUGCACGCAUCAUGCAAAAAUACAUCACACAGUCCUAG